GUUUGAUCCUGGCUCAGGAUGAACGCUUUCUACAGGCUUAACACAUGCAAGUCGAGCGGUAUGUGCUUUAGUGCAUACAGCGGCAGACGGGUGAGUAACACGUAUCUAACCUUCCCCUUACUUGGGCAUAGCCUCUGGAAACGGAGAUUAAUUUCCGAUGUGGUGUACAUUUCGCAUGUUUUGCGCACCAAAGAUUUAUCGGUAAGGGAUGGGGAUGCGCUCCAUUAGGUUGUAGGUAGGGUAAUGGCCUACCUAGCCUAUGAUGGAUAGGGGUUCUGAGAGGAAGGUCCCCCACAUUGGAACUGCGACACGGUCCAAACUCCUACGGGAGGCAGCAGUGAGGAAUAUUGGUCAAUGGCCGGAAGGCUGAACCAGCCAAGUAGCGUGCAGGAUGACUGCCUUAUGGGUUGUAAACUGCUUUUUUACGGGAAUAAUUAUGAUCACGUGUGAUUAUUUGCAUGUACCGUAAGAAUAAGGAUCGGCUAACUCCGUGCUAGCAGCCGCGGUAAUACGGAGGAUCCUAGUGUUAUCCGGAUUUAUUGGGUUUAAAGGGUGCGUAGGCGGAAAUGUAAGUCAGUGGUGAAAUCCUGCAGCUUAACUGUAGAAUAGCCGUUGAAACUGUGUUUCUUGAGUACAUUUGAGGUAGGCGGAAUGUGGUGUGUAGCGGUGAAAUGCAUAGAUAUACCACAGAACACCGAUUGCGAAGGCAGCUUACUAAACUGUCACUGACGCUGAUGCACGAAAGCGUGGGUAUCAAACAGGAUUAGAUACCCUGGUAGUCCACGCUGUAAACGAUGAGUGCUAGGUGUUGGGGGUCAAACCUCGGUGCCGCAGUUAACGCAUUAAGCACUCCGCCUGGGGAGUACGUUCGCAAGAAUAAAACUCAAAGGAAUUGACGGGGACCCGCACAAGCAGCGGAGCAUGUGGUUUAAUUCGAAGCAACGCGAAGAACCUUACCUGGAUUUGACAUCCCUCUGACCGUCUCUUAAUCGAGAUUUUCCCUUCGGGGACAGAGGAGACAGGUGGUGCAUGGUUGUCGUCAGCUCGUGUCGUGAGAUGUUGGGUUAAGUCCCGCAACGAGCGCAACCCUUGUCUUUAGUUACCAUCAUUAAGUUGGGGACUCUGGAAGGACCGCUGCGGUAACAACGCAGAGGAAGAUGGGGACGAUGUCAAGCAAUCAUGGUCCUUAUGACCGGGGCUACACACGUGCUACAAUGGCAGUUACAGAGGGAAGCGAAGCUGUAAAGUGGAGCGAAUCUCAUAAAAGCUGCCUCAGUUCGGAUUGAGGUCUGCAACUCGACCUCAUGAAGUUGGAAUCGCUAGUAAUCGCGCAACAUCAUGGCGCGGUGAAUACGUUCCCGGGCCUUGUACACACCGCCCGUCAAG
rnacentral:rRNA from 1 species